CUAAAUCAAAAUCCAAGAGCUUUCAGUGUUGUUCAGCCAUGAUAUGUGCACACAAGCAUAGCAGUUAAGGCCCUCACACUGCAUUGGAAAAGGCAGCUGAUGCAGAGGGCUGGAGAGCUUCUUCAGUGUUGCAGGGCAGCCAGGAAUAUGAGUUACACCCAGCUAACUCCUGUGCUCCAGAGGUAUGACAACAGCAAAUAAAUGAGAAGCGGAAGAGCAUUCACAAAGAAACACUGGCAGAGAUGGAAAUUCCAUGUAGUAAAAUUCCCUUUUGAAGGAAAUUCCACUGAACUGAAAAUCUGUCUCCAGGUAAAUUAAAUGGAGUCUAGCUGUAUAUUUCUUUAUACAUUAUAGAAGAUGAGUCAUUGGCAGUUUCAGUUAAGAUAGAUGAAUAAAGAUAAAUUCAAAAUUACUCAAAUAGACCAAAAUUCUUUGAACAAAUAAGUAUGGAUUGUAUGUUGUAUCCUUUAGUAUAAAUAAAAUCCGGUCUCUAACUUCA